AGUUGGAGGUCAGAGAAAAAGAUUGUUACAGAAAGUUAUAGAGGGUUAAAAUAAAUUGUAAAAGGUCAGAGGAAAGUUGUCGAAGGUCAGAGAAAAGGUUGUUACAAGUUAAAAAAAAAUGUAAACUGUGCUAUGGUUUCUCAUGUCUACAAACAGUAAAUUUUAAAAAUGGUAAUAUAAGUUAAAAUUUUAACCAUAUUAAGCUAAUUCUGUUUUAAAAAGUCCUGUUUAUUUCUCAAGUAAUUUAUAUAUAUUUGUUUUAAAAUGUUCUGUUUCCUGGUUUAGCCAGCACAUGGCCAACUGGUCACAUGACUUGACUGGUCGCCAUUUUGCUAAAGUUAAAAAAGAAUACUUAAACCGCCAUCUUGACUAAAGAUGACCGCAUGGAAAUUAGAGUUUAUAAUGUCAGACAGACCGCCAGAUCCGGACAGUGACCCAAAGUCUCCAAAGAAGAUUACGAGGCACCUCAGUUCCUGCACCUGGACCAGUGAGCAAGAUGCUCAGAUGUGAUACCUGCCGCCUGCCAGAACCUAGCCGAGACUGUGGACAAAGCUGCUGGACACUGGAAAAUUGAUUGCACCCCUUUGCCUAGACAAAACAAGGUCAGUCUUUUCCAUGUCCCUCUUCCACAGAGAGAAAAAAACUCUCACAGUAUAGGCCUGGCGAAGAUUGCUGGUCUUUGAGACACCUGCCUCCAGCGGUAAUGGAGAAACUUGGGUUUGGCUAACUGUAUAUAGACUGGCUUCUGUCACUUUUUAGUAGAUUCGGAUAAAAUAUACCCUUCUCAGAUCUCUGAAAUAUUACUGGUUGUCAGCUUGACAGCAUCAGGCAGUCAGAUCCACUAUAGACUAGUCAGUAUGUUAGCUGAUAAAAUAGUAACUAUCUACUGUUCAGGCACAAGCUCAAGGUUUUUAAGUUUAUUUUGGUUGUCAUCUAAGUACAAACUUAAAGGGCUUUUCAUCAGGCCAAAGGCACCUCUGUCCAAUCCAUACCUGGCUCUCUGGACAGAAGAGAAAUGUACAUGCUUAUAGCCCAAAUCUGUAGUUUUUGCUAGGACUCAAAGUUAUAAAUAUGUUCUUGCUGUUUAAACAGAUAUCUGCUUUUUCUACACUGUGGGCUUCAGUAAAUAAGUUUUAACCUCUGUUCCUAGUUUAAACAUGUCUUAAACAGGUUUCUGCUUCUGGCAGACAUCUGAAUAUCAGUUGCUGACUACAGACUGUUCUAAGACUGCGAGCCCUGGACUUGCUGUGGAUGUGAACCAGUUCAGCUGAUAUGGACACCCCCUGUCUCUGCAACAGUGUCUGCUAACCAGAAGCCCCUGAUGAAUUCCCCAUUGCCUAAAUUCCUUUUUGCUUUUGACUAGCAUUUCAACCUUCUGGGGUCCCUAACUUCGUCCCAAAGUCAGCAGGAAGCAGUUUGGAAAAGAAUUUCGCCGUCCAUUUUCCCUGGUUAAAAUGCUAAGUCAAAGGGAACUCCCUUGCAUGGGGAUGCCAGUAUCUAUCACUCCCUGAUGGGGAUGCUAGAGAGACAGCAAUUCCAUGAUUGGAAUUUACAAAAAAGAAAAUGGGGGAAUGAAGGAACCGGCUUCCCUUUUGGCAGCCAUAAUGGUCGAACAUGUGCUUCUAUGACCUUGUCCUAGAAACCAGAAAGUCAGAUGCCUGUCUUGUGACAAGGAACCAAUCAGAAGUUAGCUGGUGGUGCUAUGCUUUAUGGCUCUGGGUGUGCUUUACGGACAAGCGCACAGCAAUGACGUAGAGAGCAUAGCAACCACCCUGGGAGGGCCUAUGAGCCAUAAC
rnacentral:lncRNA from 1 species